GACGAACGCUGGCGGCGUGCCUAAUACAUGCAAGUUGAGCGCUGAAGGUUGGUACUUGUACCAACUGGAUGAGCAGCGAACGGGUGAGUAACGCGUGGGGAAUCUGCCUUUGAGCGGGGGACAACAUUUGGAAACGAAUGCUAAUACCGCAUAAAAACUUUAAACACAAGUUUUAAGUUUGAAAGAUGCAAUUGCAUCACUCAAAGAUGGUCCCGCGUUGUAUUAGCUAGUUGGUGAGGUAAAGGCUCACCAAGGCGAUGAUACAUAGCCGACCUGAGAGGGUGAUCGGCCACAUUGGGACUGAGACACGGCCCAAACUCCUACGGGAGGCAGCAGUAGGGAAUCUUCGGCAAUGGACGAAAGUCUGACCGAGCAACGCCGCGUGAGUGAAGAAGGUUUUCGGAUCGUAAAACUCUGUUGGUAGAGAAGAACGUUGGUGAGAGUGGAAAGCUCAUCAAGUGACGGUAACUACCCAGAAAGGGACGGCUAACUACGUG
rnacentral:rRNA from 1 species